rnacentral:rRNA from 1 species
AGAGUUUGAUCCUGGCUCAGGAUGAACGCUGGCGGCGUGCCUAACACAUGCAAGUCGAGCGAUCUUCUUCGGAAGAGAGCGGCGGACGGGUGAGUAACGCGUGGGUAACCUGCCCUGUACACACGGAUAACAUACCGAAAGGUAUGCUAAUACGAGAUAAUAUGCUUUUAUCGCAUGGUAGAAGUAUCAAAGCUCCGGCGGUACAGGAUGGACCCGCGUCUGAUUAGCUAGUUGGUAAGGUAACGGCUUACCAAGGCGACGAUCAGUAGCCGACCUGAGAGGGUGAUCGGCCACAUUGGAACUGAGACACGGUCCAAACUCCUACGGGAGGCAGCAGUGGGGAAUAUUGCACAAUGGGCGAAAGCCUGAUGCAGCAACGCCGCGUGAGCGAUGAAGGCCUUCGGGUCGUAAAGCUCUGUCCUCAAGGAAGAUAAUGACGGUACUUGAGGAGGAAGCCCCGGCUAACUACGUGCCAGCAGCCGCGGUAAUACGUAGGGGGCAAGCGUUAUCCGGAAUUACUGGGCGUAAAGGGUGCGUAGGUGGUUUCUUAAGUCAGAGGUGAAAGGCUACGGCUCAACCGUAGUAAGCCUUUGAAACUGGGAAACUUGAGUGCAGGAGAGGAGAGUGGAAUUCCUAGUGUAGCGGUGAAAUGCGUAGAUAUUAGGAGGAACACCAGUUGCGAAGGCGGCUUUCUGGACUGUAACUGACACUGAGGCACGAAAGCGUGGGGAGCAAACAGGAUUAGAUACCCUGGUAGUCCACGCCGUAAACGAUGAGUACUA